AGAACGAACGCUGGCGGCAUGCCUAACACAUGCAAGUCGAACGAGACCUUCGGGUCUAGUGGCGCACGGGUGCGUAACGCGUGGGAACCUGCCUUUAGGUUCGGAAUAACAGUGAGAAAUUACUGCUAAUACCGGAUGAAAGCGGGGGAUCGCAAGACCUCGCGCGAUUGGAGCGGCCGAUGUCAGAUUAGCUAGUUGGUGGGGUAAAGGCCCACCAAGGCGACGAUCUGUAGCUGGUCUGAGAGGACGACCAGCCACACUGGGACUGAGACACGGCCCAGACUCCUACGGGAGGCAGCAGUGGGGAAUUUUGGACAAUGGGCGCAAGCCUGAUCCAGCAAUGCCGCGUGCAGGAAGAAGGCCUUCGGGUUGUAAACUGCUUUUGUACGGAACGAAAAAGUCCGGGUUAAUACCCUGGGCCCAUGACGGUACCGUAAGAAUAAGCACCGGCUAACUACGUG
rnacentral:rRNA from 1 species